GUCAAAUUUUUGGGACUGCUCGGAAAUUUGAAGAACAUGGCAUAUUUCUGGGCAGCUAAGUAUCAUCAUUCUUUUCCCACAAUUUGAAGUCUCUCGAGGCACUAGUUCCUGGAUGCUUCAGUGACUAGUGAUUUUCCCAUAUGCUGGUACAAAUUUUGACCAACAGUCAGCCAAUCCAUAUAUUGCUGUAGCUCAAGAGACCUGAAACAACAAAUUUGAAGCUGAUUUAUCCCUGAAAAAGACUACGUGCUGUAGUACUUGGUAUGCUAACUAAAGAAGAAUAUCUAGCAGUAAGCUAGUCAAACUUUAGCAUAAUUCUGAUGGAAGAUUAUUCUUCUAUGGUGUGGAAGAUUUACCAAUGUUCGUGGAUGAUGGACUACAAAUUCAGGUUACUGCUUUCUGUAGCAGCACAAAUACAGCUGAAACUCUUUUAUCAGAAGAUUUAAAUCACAGAGAACUAUCAUGUAUUACUGUUAUCAGUCUUGUCUGAAACACACUUUUCUAAUGCUUCAUCACAAAGCUCAAGUGCCAAAUCAAAAUUCCCUAAUUCAUAGUUCAUAUCCGCAAAGAUGGAGUAA
rnacentral:lncRNA from 1 species